AUACAACGUUUUUGGAAUAAGAUUCAUUUUAGCUUGACUGCGUUCUGCUUUACGCAAAAUAUAGUAGUUUCGCCUACUAUUUUUUAGAAAUAUAGUAUUUGAUCCCUUAAAAUAGUAGGAUACUAUAAUAUUAUAUAGUAGGUUUGACAACCCUAGCGACUCAGUCGUUCUGCAGUUCCUAUGAUUUCCCGUCUUGGCUGAUGGCUCAUUCAUUUGCAACGCAGUGCGCAGAGGUAUCAUCGUGGUUUCAGCUCAGUACAUCAAAAGUGUAUGGGAAGAUAAAGGAAUAGUUAAAAAUGCUUGAAAAUUAGAGAAGUUCAUCAAAAAUCACAGCGGAACGCAGAAAAAGGAUUAGACCAGGCAUUAUUUAAUUAUCGGAUGAUCAAUGAUGAAGAAUUCUACAUGACACAAAC